UACGUAGGGUGCGAGCGUUGUCCGGAAUUACUGGGCGUAAAGGGCUCGUAGGUGGCCAACUAAGUCAGACGUGAAAUCCCUCGGCUUAACCGGGGAACUGCGUCUGAUACUGGAUGGCUUGAGUUUGGGAGAGGGACGCGGAAUUCCAGGUGUAGCGGUGAAAUGCGUAGAUAUCUGGAGGAACACCGGUGGCGAAGGCGGCGUCCUGGACCAAUACUGACACUGAUGAGCGAAAGCCAGGGGAGCAAACGGG
rnacentral:rRNA from 1 species